rnacentral:rRNA from 1 species
CCUACGGGCGGCAGCAGUGAGGAAUAUUGGUCAAUGGACGAGAGUCUGAACCAGCCAAGUAGCGUGAAGGAUGACUGCCCUAUGGGUUGUAAACUUCUUUUAUAUGGGAAUAAAACGUUCCACGUGUGGGAUUUUGUAUGUACCAUAUGAAUAAGGAUCGGCUAACUCCGUGCCAGCAGCCGCGGUAAUACGGAGGAUCCGAGCGUUAUCCGGAUUUAUUGGGUUUAAAGGGAGCGUAGGUGGAUUGUUAAGUCAGUUGUGAAAGUUUGCGGCUCAACCGUAAAAUUGCAGUGGAAACUGGCAGUCUUGAGUACAGUAGAGGUGGGCGGAAUUCGUGGUGUAGCGGUGAAAUGCUUAGAUAUCACGAAGAACUCCGAGUGCGAAGGCAGUUCACUGGACUGCAACUGACACUGAGGCUCGAAAGUGUGGGUAUCAAACAGGAUUAGAUACCCUUGUAGUC